rnacentral:rRNA from 1 species
UGCAAGUCGAGCGGGGGAAGUUGCUUCGGUAACUGACCUAGCGGCGGACGGGUGAGUAAUACUUAGGAAUCUGCCUAUUAAUGGGGGACAACAUCUCGAAAGGGAUGCUAAUACCGCAUACGCCCUACGGGGGAAAGCAGGGGAUCACUUGUGACCUUGCGUUAAUAGAUGAGCCUAAGUCGGAUUAGCUAGUUGGUGGGGUAAAGGCCUACCAAGGCGACGAUCUGUAGCGGGUCUGAGAGGAUGAUCCGCCACACUGGGACUGAGACACGGCCCAGACUCCUACGGGAGGCAGCAGUGGGGAAUAUUGGACAAUGGGGGGAACCCUGAUCCAGCCAUGCCGCGUGUGUGAAGAAGGCCUUAUGGUUGUAAAGCACUUUAAGCGAGGAGGAGGCUCUUUUGGUUAAUACCCAAGAUGAGUGGACGUUACUCGCAGAAUAAGCACCGGCUAACUCUGUGCCAGCAGCCGCGGUAAUACAGAGGGUGCGAGCGUUAAUCGGAUUUACUGGGCGUAAAGCGUGCGUAGGCGGCUUUUUAAGUCGGAUGUGAAAUCCCCGAGCUUAACUUGGGAAUUGCAUUCGAUACUGGGAAGCUAGAGUAUGGGAGAGGAUGGUAGAAUUCCAGGUGUAGCGGUGAAAUG